rnacentral:lncRNA from 1 species
AUCUUGUCUGCUCAACCCUGGUAUCACAAGACUCUGGCCAUCUAUUUUUGCAACAGGUUGAUGCCUUUUAGGAGGAUUCCCUUGAGGAACAGAUAAAAUUCCUUCAGAAUGAGGAAAAUCCAGACCAGUACUAAGAUGAGCAGCAGCAGGUCUCCUCCCAUUGUUAAAAUUUGUAUUUUGUGGAUACCCAUGGGUCUUGAAACACUUAUCAAUUAAGUGUCCAGAUUUUUUACAGUAUCUACAGAAUAAAGGUCCUCUUGCCUGGUCAAAAUUGACCCUCUGUCUGAAAGGAGAAGGAGGAAUAAGCACUGUGGCCUUGUUAAAUCCAACAGGCUGCCUAUUAGUAUGGACAUUGAAAGAGACAGAGUCUGGAUUAAAGUGAGAAGAAGACUGAACUNNNN